GCAAACUAAAUACUAUAGAAAUAAAAUGGAGCGACAUCACUUGACAAAAAGGGUUCUUAGCGCUACAUAUUUGUCGGGAACAUCUGGAGUUCGAUUCCCUGUUGAAAAAUAUUAACAGAAAUUCAAGUUGCUCAGCCCCAAACUUCGUUGUCUUUGUUCAAGAACAAACCCUAAUUUCCGGCGAAUCCGCAAUCGAGCAAAACCCUGAAUCUCCAUGUUUCCACGCAUCCUGUAAAGUAGAUAAUUUCGUUGUAUUGUAAACAACACAAUAAAACAAGAAGAUAGAUAAUUUCGUUGGAAUUGAUAACUGUAAAUUCCAUGGUAAUCCAAGAAAUUGAAUAAGCAACAAAUUGGCCACCUCUUACUCUCGUUCUCUCUGUUUCGUUCUCUUCUUAUCCGUUCCUCUCUACUAUAUCUGUGUAUGUGUAUCUUCAAUUUUGAGGAAAAGAAUGAUG
rnacentral:lncRNA from 1 species